GCGAGCUACAAAGGCGUAAGCCUUGGCGGGUCGAACUCUAAGGCGUUGCCUUGUUCUUCUCUAGCGCCGUGCUUAAGAUUAGUGGUAGAGCAGAACAGUGUUUUAAAAAUCCCCGCCUAGGUCUGCCUAGGCCUCCUUGGUGCCCCGCUUAGGCGCUAGGUCCCCUUGGUGCCCCGCCUAGGCGCUAGGCCCUCUUGGCGCUUCACCUAGGAUCAAGGUGGCAAUAAAAUCCCUCUAGAAAAUUAGUGGGGCCUAGGUGGGGUAUAGGCGGAGAGAUUUUUUUUAUUUUAAUAACUAUCCAAACCAGAUCUUGAUAUAUUUAUUUUUCUAAUAAUUUACAUAUUCAUAAUACAUGUUGUAGCAUAUCAAAUCACAACAAGAAAUGAACAAUAUCAAGUCAAAAUGGAUAAUUUUAUUAUAGUUGUAAUGUUUUGAACCUGUACCAACUUCAAAUUAUAUAAACGAUGAUACAUUUUUAAUAUUUAGUUUAAUUCAAUAUAAUUCUUAAAUUUAGUUUAUUAAGUUUUAAUAACGAGUUAAAUUCUUGAAACUUUAAAUUUUAUUAUUUAUAGCAAUCUUAUUUAUGAAUAAAAUUAAUACGUUAAAAAUAUUUUUGAACUUUGAACAAUUGCAUGUUUGUGUUUGAACUUUGACAUUAGCAAUAUGGAUGUGUUUGAAUUUUUAGCAAAUGCCUUUAUUAUCUUUAUUAUAGAUUAUUUUGUUUUAUAUUAUUGUUUUGUUUGGAUAAAUGUAAGAUAAAAUAUUAAAAUUGGCUUAAAAUAAAAAAUUCCGCCCAGGCCCCCUAGGCGCUAGGCCCCCCUGGGCCUCCCGCCUAGCGCUUUUUAAAACAUUGGAUCAGAAAGUUGAGAUCUUUUAUAGGAGUGUAAUUUCUUAGUCAACAGUGUUUGUAGAAUUAUAGGAGAGCAUGAGCACCCGUGCGCCCUGGGCGAUGGGAGGGAGGGAGGGGGGAGGAUGGAGGAGGAGGAGGGGGGGGGUGUUGGCUGCAUUUAGAAUAUCUUCCAAGCAUGUUGGCCUUUUAUUUUUAAAUUUUGCACUAUUAAACUUACCCUCUUUCUUCAAAUAUGUCUUGUCGUAUAUUCAAGUGCUCAAGUUUUGAUGCUCCUCUAUUACUCAUUUAUAAUUUCAUAUCAUGUUGUAGGUGGUCCUUCAUUUCUGUUGGUUGCUCCUGAUCAACCUCAUCCGCAAAGAAACUAAUAUCUUUAUACUAGACAAACACAUAGAUAAUAGUAACAUAAGUGAUACAUUUGAGGAGUACUAUUUAAUCCUAUAAUCCUGUUGUCUAAUUGUUGGGCUGGGAUUGGCCCAAAACAAGUGCUAGACUUCUGAAAAAUUAAUAAUCUAUCCAAUUUUGGUGCACGGUUGUCAUUGAAUCUCAAAAGUGCCUUCUUUAUUCAUUAGUGAGAGGGGUGAAGUGACCUUAUGGAUGUAGUUGCUGUGUGUUUUGAUGUGGGGCAAAAACUUGAGGACAUAUCUUUUCAAUCCACAUGGCUUUUUCAUUUUUGACUUGAUUUAUUCUACCUUUAAAUUGAGACGCAUGUGCUGUUAUCAAUUGUGAGAAUCAUAUGUAAUUGCAAUAUCGUUUAAAUAUUAGCUGCAUGCAUCCAGGGAAAGAGUAAAAAAACUGCUACCUGGUCCAGCUCUAUUUUUUUUUACUUUCUAAUCUUAUAUAUCAUUGCAAUGUUCUGCCUGGACUGUAAAUUACAAGUUCCGAAGUUGUAGUGUUGUACACUAUCAAGAUUACGUUACAGGCUCAAAGUAUUUGGUAUGGGUUAUCUAUAGUAAACUCAUAAAUGCACUUCUUGGCUCAUUUUUUAUUUACUUUUUAUUUUAUUAAUAUCUGCAACUCAUCAACCCGCAUCAUUUUAUACUCGACUCGACUCAACAAUGUUUUAAAGUUUUUUAUCCCAAACUAGUUGGGGUAGGCUAAAAAUAAAUCCAACUAGUAAGUGUAAACGUAGAAAAAGAGAAGGGUAAAAAGAUACAACUAAAAGUAACAAGGAAAGAAUAAAAUAAAAAAUUCUAAUAUUUAAAAUAAGUAAAAAUUGCACUCACUCAUAUAUAUAAACAUAAGUACAAUUCAUAUAUAUAUAUAUAUACAUAUAUAUAUAUACACACACACGCACACACAUAUAUAUAUAUAUAGGAAAAGGGAGUAUGAGUCCAACACUUAAGUUUCUGUGUGUCCUAUAAUUUUUUGUUAAUGACAGUUUUGAAAUUUCACUAUUUUCAUUAGUGGCUAUUUUGACGUGUUACUAUUUUAUCUAGCUUUGGCAUAUUGGGUGCAUGACAUAGUGACAUACAGGAGCUUAUGUGCCUAAGACACGUACUCCCUUAUCUCUCUCUAUAUACAUGUAUACAAAGAAUGAAGGGAGGGGGAAAGAGAGAGAUAGAAUCAAAACAAAAGGAGAUGGGAAGAGAGAAAAAGGUGGGACACCUGACAUGGAGCUCGGUAUGUGGAUUGCACUCCCCUGAUUGCAUUCCCCUACUCGCUCCUAUUAAAGGUCAUCUUUUUAGUUAUAUUAUGUUUGUUCAAGUCCCUUUUACUAGUUAGCCAAAGUGUUUUGUGGCCUACCCUACCACUUCUUAAAUCUUCUUCUGAUACACUCUCGUUUUCCCAUCGUUCCAUUUAUAGACCGAUGUUGGAUACGACCAAAUAAUCUUGACUGAUAUUCCACAUCUUCUUCUACUCAAUCAACAAUCGGUACUACCCCAACCUUUAUAUUCUCAUUUCUGAUAUGUAUCGUUUUUUCAUCUCCUCCUAAUUGUAGUGGUGAAAUUAUGUUAUGGCCCAUUUCUAACUUUUUUGGUAUUUUAUUAUGUCAUUUCAUAAUUUGUUCCGGUAAAAAUUGUUUAGUGUUUUUCUUUCUCUCUAUAAAAAUUGUUUAUUGCUCCCUUCCCCCUUCUCUCCUAGGGUAUGUGAAAAGCUUCUUCAGAAUUUGGGUUUUCAGGUUUUUACUUUUAUUCUUUUGCCCUCUUGGUUCUUUUGUAUAUUUGUGUUUUCAAUAUUUGGGUAUGGAUUUUGAUUGAGGCAUUGUUUGUUAAACUUAAUGUGGCGUGGGAGAUUUUAUCUGAUUAGUCGGUCUUGUGAGCAGCUUUUCGAAUACCAGUACAAUAUGGGGCUUCUUUUGAUUGAGAAAAAGGAGUGGACCUCUAAGUAUGAAGAACUACAGCAAGCAUUUACUGAAACCAAGGAUUCCCUUAAACGAGAGCAAGCGGCACAUUUAAUUGCAAUGUCUGAGGUAGAGAAGCGAGAAGAGAAUUUGAGGAAGGCAUUGGGCGUGGAGAAGCAGUGCGUUCUUGAUGUAUGAUCUUCCCUUUCCCUUGCACUUCCAUUAUGAGAUCUGUUUUUGUAUGAACCACUUUUUAAUAUUAACAGCAGUUUCUAUUACAGGAGUCUGUUGCAUGAUUAUGAUAUAUCCCUAUAUGUAUUCAAAUUAUAGUUUUUGCUUAAUUUUGGUUUAUGUUGUGAGCAUAAAAUUUUUAUUAAUCAAAAUUAAUGUUUAAUGUUGUUUCAAGUAUCUGGAUUUAUGAAUUACAGUUUGAAAUUUUGGAUAGCCAGUAAUGAUUCAAAGUGACUAUUGAAAAAAUCUAUAGUUAUCCACUUAUCCUAAAAAUCUAUUUGAAUUUACCAGUGAUGAUAAGGAAUGUCUAAUUAUUUCUGCAGUUAGAGAAGGCUUUGCGUGAGAUGCGCUCAGAGUAUGCAGAAAUUAAGUUCACAUCUGAUUCGAAGUUGGCUGAAGCAAAUGCUUUGAUCACUAGUAUUGAGGAGAAAUCUUUGGAGGUAGAAUCAAGGUUGCAUGCUGCUGAUGCGAAGCAUGCUGAGGUGAGCAGAAAGAGUUCAGAGAUUGAGAGGAAAUCACAUGAGGUCGAGGUUAGAGAAAAUGCGCUUCGAAGGGAACGGCUAUCAUUUAAUGCAGAGUAUGCUCAUGAGGACCACUAAUUUUCUAUCAUUAUCAUUAAUUUUGCAUUUUGAUUCCUGUUCGCAUUCGCCGAUUUGAAGUAUUCUUAUGAGUUGGCUUGGCAAAGAUCAGCUUAAUUGUCAGUUGCUCAGUUUUUUUAAAGUUUGUCUCUGUUCUUUUUUUUAGACGAGAAGCGCACACAGGUAAUAUAUCUAACCAGAGAGAAGACUUGCGGGAAUGGGAAAGAAAAUUACAAGAGGGUGAAGAGAGGUUGGCUGAGGUUCGAAGAUUGCUCAACCAGAGAGAGGAAAGGGCAAAUGAGAAUGAUAGGAUAUAUCAGCAGAAACAGAUUGAUCUCGAAGGCGCACAAAAAAAGAUUGAGAUAGUUAACUCAUCUUUGAAAAAGAAAGAAGAUGAUAUAAGCAGCAGGGUAGAAAAGCUAAGUCUUAAAGAGAAGGCAAGUUGUCAUUAAAUAAACUGCUCCCUUGAAAAAUCUGUAUUUAUUUUUUAAUGGUUUGUAUUUGCAAGAGUAUAUAUCUUGUUCCACAUUGAAUGCCUUGAGAAAAUGUGUCUAGUAUAUAAUGGCUCGGGCCAACUCUUCUCAGCCAAUUGAGCUUAAUGUCUUUAUAUACUAGACUUUGAGCACAUUUUAUAAAUCUAACAGUAUUCAUUUCUUCUGGUGCAGGAAGCUGAUUCUAUGAGAAAAAGCCUGGAGAUGAAAGAGAAGGAAUUACUUGAACUAGAGGAAAAGCUUAAUGCUAGAGAACAAGUAAGUUCUUACACCUUUUCUAUAUGUGUAAUAUGUUGCUCUUCAUAUUAGGAUAUGAGCCGACCCAUAUACAUCAUCAUUAUGGCAGACCCACUCUUACUUUUUCUCACAGAAAUGAGGAAAUGCAUUUGCAUCUGUAAACUUAUUGACAUGAAGCUUCUAUUACGUGUUUUUCAAUUUCACCUUUUAGGUGGUGUUUUUCUACAAAGUAUCUGAAUACUAUUUUUAAUGAAAGUGUUUUCAUACCAAGUUGAUCUGUUCAGCCAGAUUGCUCCUUCUGUACCUAUUUUAAUCACCGUAUGUACCCUGACCCUAGGUUAUUAGUACUGAUUAAGCUUGUCAUUUGAAUGAAAUAGAUUUUUACUAUCAUAUGUUUAUUGUGCUUCUUUCGUCAUAUUUUAUUCUUCCAUUUGCGGAAUAAUUCUUGUUUUUUUGUAUAGUCUAUUCCUCCCUUUAUCCAGUCUUCUGAGUAAUUCCACUACAAGAACUCCCUCACUGUUAAAAUAAAAAUGGAGAAAGAAGUUCAAGAUUCCAACAAAUGAAAAAACUCCACCUAGUUCUUAAAAGUCUUAAAGAGCGGGGUUAUCUAAUACUAUUGUUAAAGAACUGAGCAUGUAAAACUAGUAGUGAACCACACUGCUAAAGAAAUUAUAUGCGAAAUUCCUAUCCAAAAAAAGAAACAGAAUUCUUUAACGCCUCCGAAUUCGAGCGCUGACCGCAAGAACAAGGGUCGACGUUUACUUAACAUCUUUUGUAACUUAAUUAAUGAUCCCAUAAUCAUAUUGGUUGAAUAUUAUAAAUUUUCUUAACUUCAUUUAUGGAUCUAACUUGAUUUAAACAUUCUAUAGUUCAAUAUAUAUCAAGUUUCACAGCAUUAAUGAUAAGAUCGUUCUUGGCAACAGAGGGGUGCAUUCCGGUAAUUUUGGCAUCUUAACGACACUCAUUUGUGUAAUCUCAGUGUUUACAGAACUCCCAAAUAUCAUUCAAUACCAUCACUUAAGCAUAUAUCUUUAUAGAUAUAUCUCUUCAUAUCGAUAUUUCCUAUUUAUCUGAAUUUCACAAUAUUAAUAGCACACUUGUAUUUGGAACAGAGGAACCUUACGAUGAAUUCGGUUUCUUCAUCGGUGCUAUAUAGUUCUUUAUCAACAUUGUAUUAAUGUUUUACUAUCUAUCUGAAGUUCAGAGUAUCAACAUAACAUGAUCAGUCUAUAUUACUAAUACCCUCAUUCAUAUUAAUAGCUCUUUAACAAUUCUAAGUUAUAUCAAAUUAAAGACAUAAUAUCAUUCUGAGGAUAAUAACAUGAUAUUAUUAAUAUAAUCUUCGAUUACAUGGUUUGCUUGUUCAUAUUACAGAAGUCAUUAUGACUUAAUACAAAUAACAAGUACUUAACAUGAAAACCUAAUCUACGCUUCUUCUUUACGUUCAUGAUCUUCUUAACGUUCUUCUUUAACUGCAAAUAAAGUUUUAUUCACAAGAAUGAGCACGACGGCUCAACUAGUCUAUCUAAUAACACAUAGACAGUUUAUGCUUUUAUAUAAAUUUAAACAUGCUUGACUUGACAUAACUUUCAGUUACGAAUCAUGUUAACUCAUGCUUAAUGAUAGAACAUAAUCAUAACAUAACAUAUCAUUAAACACUUGACAUUUAAUUAUUAUAUCCUACUUAAAAUCACAUAAGGCUUUCAUACAUAUACUUUCACAUAUCAACUAUCACAUAUGAUCUUAGAAAUAGUUGCACAUAGGUUUAAGAAAUAAAAUUUACCUUUACCGUUUAUGUUAAUUUUGCGUCUCUCGAUCAACCUAUAUUAUUUAUUUAUGAGAUCGACAUACAAUUCAAUCACCACAUGACUCUUACUCUAGUUCACCUUAACUAGCCUUUAAACAUGAACCUAACUUUGUAUUUAUAACUUUUACGAUAAUUGAUUUCAAAACUUGUUUAAUUUAUAACUAAUUCAAAUCAACUUGGAAUUGGCUCAUCUUUGGACAGUGACCUAUGUAUAACAUGGUCUAACUACCCUCAUAAGUGGCACGAACCCCAAAAUUCCCGUGCUCAAAAUGUUCUGGACAACCCUCUUUUUACUAUUCACUAGCUGAAUAUUUUCAGCAGUGCCUUGGCUCACUAUUUAAUUCAUAAUUAAUUCAUAUUAAUGAAUUUUUGAGUGAUUCUUUCGCCCAUGUCUUUGUAACUUCCCCAUCUACAUUUGCUUUGUAUUUCAUAACCAAAUUCCAAACAUGAUUUUAUAUAACUUUUACAAUAACAGUUCAGAUUAGGAGUUUCUCAUUUCAUACUUUCAAUCUCUCUAAUUAGUUACCACUUGAGUUAAUUAGCUUGUUUUCAUCUUUUAUGACUUAAUAACAUUGUAUUACAUAAUCAUAAACCUAAACAUGUAUUAUUUCAUGAAUUCUACUCGAGAACAUAAGAACAUAAAUUAAAUUUAUAACAACAUACCUCUUGAAGUGCUAGCUUUUCGAUACUUAAAAACGCAAGACUUUAGCUUUCUUUUCUUCUCUCAAUUACCAAUAUAACUCUCUCUUAUGAUUACUCUAGCCUCUUUUGCUUUUAAAUUAC
rnacentral:lncRNA from 1 species